rnacentral:piRNA from 1 species
UACCAACUGAACUACAUUCCUAGGCCUCC